GCCACUGCUGUUGGGGUUCGGCUAAGCCAUGCGAGUGGAGGGCGCGGUCGAAAGAUCGUGGCCCCGCAGACGGCUCAGUAACACGUCGUCAACCCACCUUAGGGUGGGGGACAACCUCGGGAAACUGAGGAUAAUCCCCCAUAGGCGGGGGAGGCUGGAAUGCGCCCCCGCUGAAAGCUCAGGCGCCCUAGGACGGGACGGCGGCCUAUCAGGUAGUUGGUGGUGUGACG
rnacentral:rRNA from 1 species